UACGUGAGGGGCGAACGUUGUUCGGUGUCACUGGGCUUAAAGGGUGCGUAGGUGGUUGCGUAAGUAAGGUGUGAAAUCCCUCGGCUUACCCGGGGAAUUGCAUUUUAUACUGCGUGGCUUGAGGACUAAAGGGGAAAAAGGGAACUCCAGGUGUAGCGGUGAAAUGCGCAGAUAUCUGGGGGGAAGGCCGGCGGCGAAGGCGCUUUUUCUGGUUAGUACCUGACACUGAGGCACGAAAAGCGUGGGGGAGCAAACAGG
rnacentral:rRNA from 1 species